rnacentral:rRNA from 1 species
CUCAAAGGAAUUGACGGGGCCGCACAAGCGGUGGAGCAUGUGGUUAAUUCGACGCAACGCGAAGAACCUUACCAGGGCUUGACAUCCCCUGACCGCGUAUGAAAGUACGAAUUCACCUUCGGGUGACAGGGAGACAGGUGGUGCAUGGUUGUCGUCAGCUCGUGUCGUGAGAUGUUGGGUUAAGUCCCGCAACGAGCGCAACCCCUACGUUUAGUUGCUAACGCGUGAAGGCGAGCACUCUAGACGAACUGCCGUUGACAAACGGAGGAAGUGGGAUGACGUCAAAUCAUCAUGCCCCUUAUGUUCUGGGCUACACACGUGCUACAAUGGCCGGUACAGACGGACGCAAAGCCGCGAGGUGGAGCAAAUCCUAAAAAGCCGGUCUCAGUUCGGAUUGCAGGCUGCAAUUCGCCUGCAUGAAGUCGGAAUCGCUAGUAAUCGCAGGUCAGCAUACUGCGGUGAAUACGUUCCCGGGCCUU